rnacentral:rRNA from 1 species
CGCACAAGCGGUGGAGCAUGUGGUUUAAUUCGAUGCAACGCGAAGAACCUUACCUACUCUUGACAUCCAGAGAAGCCAGCGGAGACGCAGGUGUGCCUUCGGGAGCUCUGAGACAGGUGCUGCAUGGCUGUCGUCAGCUCGUGUUGUGAAAUGUUGGGUUAAGUCCCGCAACGAGCGCAACCCUUAUCCUUGUUUGCCAGCGAGUCAUGUCGGGAACUCCAG